UCGGAUUUUGACCAUAAUAAGUAGAAUUCAUGUAAACAGUGCUUUUGACAAGCGAUUUAAAUCUAAAAAGGGAGAAAUAUUUUUUAUUUGCCUCAUCAAACUGUGAAUAUCAAGUGAAUGCCAUCUAAAUAUGUAACAUGUGUGUUUAUUAUGUAAUUGGUUGAACAUUUUUUUCAGCUUCGUAGAACUACCAUGCUGCCAGAUAGAUCAAUAAUUGUUUUUUCCAAUUGACACCCCCUAUAUUAAAUUUUACUUGCGUAGUGUUAAUUGUAGGUAAAAUCUAAAUUUCAAGUGUGCAUGCUUUUGUCAUGCGGCAUACAUGCUCGAUCAAUCGCCUGCUGGAUAUCCAACCACCCUCACGCGUUCACACAACGUUUUAAUACUAUUCAUAUUCAUAUGAUGUUAGGCUAGCAUCCUUCUCUCCUUAUCCGUUUCUCACCCACACACACUGAUGUUUUCUCUCUCCUUACCUGUUCCUUCUCAUUUCCUCUAUGUUCCCCUCUCCAUUGGAAUCUGAAGGUAGAAGGGCACGCGCUCUGCAGCGUUGGAAGCGGUAAGCACUGGGUCUGCAGCGAUGUAGCCCUUGGGAUGUCCAGAUCUGGUGGAGUGGAGCUCAAUCCGGGGAGAAGAGGGGCUCAAUCUAGUUGAGACAUGACAUGACUCGAUUUGCAUAUGAAGGAGUUCGAUCUGGCGCAUGUCCAAGGUGAGGACGUUGAUUUGGGCAAGGAUGGAGCUCAAGCUAUUGCAGCUUCAAGGGGAGGAGCUCGAUUAUGACGGAGGAGCUCAUCCGGUGCGCAAAACAACUCAACUUUGGCUACCAUGGUUUGAUUAGGCCACCAUGCAAAACAACUCAGCUUUGUGCGGUGAGCAACUCGAUCUAGCGAUGUCGCAGGUGAGCUUGUGAGCAGCGAUGGCCAUGCAAGAAGGUGAGUGCAUUGGUUGGAUUUAACUUUGUAACCAUGUCCAAAUCAUUUUGAUAUUUAAAUAAUUUUGAUCGUGCUUUCGUGUAUGUUUUAUUUGAUCUAGUGCAUGCUGGAGGAUCCACUAAUCCCAAGUCUCUUGCUCCCUUCUCGGCUCCCUAUCGAGUUGCUUUUACAUUUUGUACUAAGUUGCCUAUGUAUCGUGUCAACAUUGUCUAAGAAAAUAAAUCAUAUUGUUUUUCUCAAACAGAUCUACCAAUUUACCUGUACAUGGCUUCAAAUUUGCCUAGCAAAAUACAUCAAACUGCUUUUCCAUUUUGUCUUGCAGCUGUCCUAAUUGUGCUUCUGAGAAUUAAGUUGUGCUACAUGCAAACCUUAUGUUAAUUUGGUUUUUUUUUUCAAUCUUAAACAUGAGCUCUACUGUUUUAUCUUGAAACAAUUUUUUAUUUGAUUUGCUUUUAUGAUCUCUGGAUUCAUGGUAGUUUGCUUGCAUAUGGGUUCUAACUUGCUUCUAUUCCAUUCUGAUUUGCUUACUAAUUUGUCACACCCGGUUUUAAGAUCAAAUAUAAUGUAAAUUAUAUAUAUACUAUGAUCAAAUUUCAUAUAUAUAGUGACGUCAUAAAUGAAUAACAGAAACAUAUCCUUAACUUAAAUGUACCUUCGAUCUUAAAAAAGGACCAGCGAGAGUCAAACAACAAAGACACUACAGCGGAACCAAGCGUAGCCUUCAUCUUCAACUGGGCAACUCUACAGGCACAACAAUGGGCGAUAAGGCUGAAAUUUCGUGCGUGGAAAACACAUGGGCCCAGUGUUGCCACGCGCUUCGCGUGUACUGAACAGGCAUGCAGGUUGGCUAGAAAAAGUGGCCUCUUAAUCGAGUGCUUUUUCUAAUCAGGAUGCGAAUGCAGACAGAUUAAUGCAUGCACGACUGUGUAUUAGUCGGCUCCAUUAAUUGUAUCAAUCAAACUUGGUGUUUUAGCUUACUUCGUAUGUCGAACCUCAAUCGAUUAUGCCGUUUUGAAAGGUCAGUGACAUUGAAACAAAUUGGAUCCUUCGAUACGAGCGGAAUUAUUGUACUUACACAGUCUUAUGCUUGCACAAUCAAUUUAGAAUGUUCUUAUUUACAGAAAA